UACGUAGGGCGCAAGCGUUAUCCGGAAUUAUUGGGCGUAAAGAGCUCGUAGGCGGUUUGUCGCGUCUGCCGUGAAAGUCCGGGGCUCAACUCCGGAUCUGCGGUGGGUACGGGCAGACUAGAGUGAUGUAGGGGGAGACUGGAAUUCCUGGUGUAGCGGUGAAAUGCGCAGAUAUCAGGAGGAACACCGAUGGCGAAGGCAGGUCUCUGGGCAUUAACUGACGCUGAGCUGCGAAAGCGUGGGGAGCGAACGGG
rnacentral:rRNA from 1 species